GACGAACGCUGGCGGCGUGCUUAACACAUGCAAGUCGAACGGAAAGGCCCCUUUGGGGGUACUCGAGUGGCGAACGGGUGAGUAACACGUGAGUAACCUGCCCUUGACUUCGGGAUAACUUCAGGAAACUGGGGCUAAUACCGGAUAGGAAUCCUUGCUGCAUGGUGGGGGUUGGAAAGAUUCGGCGGUCUUGGAUGGACUCGCGGCCUAUCAGCUUGUUGGUGGGGUAGUGGCUUACCAAGGCUUUGACGGGUAGCCGGCCUGAGAGGGCGACCGGCCACAUUGGGACUGAGAUACGGCCCAGACUCCUACGGGAGGCAGCAGGGGGGAAGAUUGCACAAUGGGCGGAAGCCUGAUGCAGCAACGCCGCGUGCGGGAUGACGGCCUUCGGGUUGUAAACCGCUUUCAGCAGGGGCGAAGCUUGUGGUGACGGUACCUGCAGAAGAAGCACCGGCUAACUACGUG
rnacentral:rRNA from 1 species